rnacentral:rRNA from 1 species
GGAAACAAGAUGCUAAUACCGGAUAACAACAGAUGAUGCCUAUCAACUGUUUAAAAGAUGGUUCUGCUAUCACUCUUGGAUGGACCUGUGGUGCAUUAGCUAGUUGGUAGGGUAACGGCCUACCAAGGCGAUGAUGCAUAGCCGAAGUUGAGAGACUGAUCGGCCACAUUGGGACUGAGACACGGCCCAAACUCCUACGGGAGGCAGCAGCA